UGUCUUACAUACACUCAAAUUCUCAAACUCAAUUCAAAUUUAUGUACACAAAUAUGUUUGUUAGUAAAGUUAUGGUUAAUAAAUUGUACAUAUAGUUUUGUAUUGGUUUCAGCUUCUAUCUUUAUUUAUAUUUUCAAAAUUAAAUAAUUUUCCACUAAUGGAGUUAGUGCAUAGUAUUAAUAAAUAUAUAAUAAGAAAAUAUUUAUUUAUUAAUUUAUUUCGAAAAAAGGCACUUUCUUUCCCCUUUCGAAAAGGAAAAAAAAAAAUCCAAUUUUUAUUAGAAAAUCUUUUUUUCAUUUUUCAAAAAAAAGUAGGUCAUUUCGAUAAAAAAGAAAAAGAAUAAUAAUAGACAUAAGAAAACGACAAUAUUCUAUUUUCAAUUUCCUUAUUUAUUUCCACUGAAAUCAGCAGACUCUUCCCCGGAGUCGAUCAAUCAUCUUCUUCCUCUCUGUUUCCUUCACCCCAAGUUAUGGAGGACCGCCGAUCUUCACCUACUCAUCUUGAGCCUUGGAACUGCCUUCACGGCAAAGUGGUCAUGGUCACCGGAGCCUCCUCCGGCCUCGGCCGUGAGUUCUGUCUCGAUCUUGCUAAAGCCGGUUGCAGAGUCAUCGCCGCCGCACGCCGAAUCGAUAGGCUCCAAUCUCUUUGCGACGAAAUCAAUUGCCUUAAUGUCUCUUCAUCUUCCUCCCUCCCUAGAGCCAUAGCUGUCGAGCUCGAUAUUAGCGCCGAUGGAAAAAGCAUAGAGAAAUCAGUCAAAAAUGCUUGGGAGUCCUUCGGCUUCAUCGAUGCCUUAGUGAAUAAUGCAGGUUUUAGAGGUACUGUGAAGACUUGUCUAGAAUUGUCUGAAGAGGAAUGGGAUCAAGUGAUGGGAACAAAUCUUAAAGGUUCUUGGUUGGUAUCAAAGUAUGUGUGUGGUCAUAUGCGUGACUCGAAACGAGGUGGUUCUGUUAUCAGUAUUUCUUCCAUUUCUGGUAUUGAAAGAGGCCAACUACCUGGUGGUCUUGCCUAUGCUGCUUCAAAGGCAGGCAUAAACACUUUGACAAAGGUUAUGGCUCUUGAGUUAGGGCCAUACAAUAUCAGAGUAAAUUCUAUAGCGCCUGGGCUUUUCAAAUCUGAGAUUACAGAGGGUCUCAUGCAAAAAGAUUGGCUAAAUACUGUAGCCUACAAAACUACCCCUUUAAGGACAUUUGGUACUUCAGAUCCAGCAUUAACAACACUCAUUCGAUAUCUGAUCGACGAUUCUUCUCGAUAUGUCUCGGGCAACAUUUACAUAGUUGAUACUGGAGCUACAUUACCUGGUUUCCCAAUUUUCUCAUCUCUUUGAAUAUUUAUGCUGCAGUUGAUGAUUUGCUUAGAAUUGUCAGAUCAUCUACUUCAUGAAAAUUUGAAAGGUGUAUGAACUACAGGUCCAAAAACUUCACGUUUCGUGAGUGAGUUUAAUUCUGCAUGGAUGGCUUUUUGUGCAACAUUAUACGCAAAAAUGUUGUCCACAACUACAUUAGUUCUAUUUUAUCUUUUUUCUGUCAUGGUAUAAUUUAUCGAGAUCUCAUUGUUAGCUUCAUAUACUUGAGUCUCUUCAACAUUUUUACCAUUAGUCGUGUUUAGGACUUUUUCUUGAAUGUUUCUAUUGUCAAUUAAGUCAUUUUUGACUAUUUGUCACUUUUCUUUUUCAAGGAUUUUUAUUCUUUGAACCCAUCAAUCUACCACGCUUUUGACGCAGCGCUGAUUCAUUAAUUGUAUCAACUUGUUGAGUUGGGAUUUCAAUUCUAGAUGAAGCAUUUACAGCUGGAAUAUAUGACUUUGUCACUUUCUUAGUAUUUGCAAAUGCAUUUGACAUUUAGUUUGCUACACUUUGUAAAUGAAUUAUCUUUUGAACUUCUAGUUCAUAUUGCUUUGUAGGAGGAUCUAAAUGAGACAAUAACAAUACAUUCUAGACAA